AUGGCCGCUCCACCUCGACACCCACCACGCGAGUGGGGAACCUGCCGGGUGGACCGUGAGGGGAGGGGAGAGAAGGGGCGCAAAGUUGGCGGCCCCCCGUGGGUUGGCCCCGAGGGCAGGGGCCGGCUGGCUGUACUUACGGGUUUUGGGGGUCGUGCUGGCCUCCGGCGUGGUGGUGGUAGACUCCUGAAAGGGAGACAGAGUCCAGGACGGCGCCGAGUCGUGGACGUAGAUCUUGUAGGAGGAGGUAGCGUGUGCCGCAGUGGGCCAGGCGGGCAGCGGCGGGCUGCUGGGGGCGGCGGGCGCGGAGGGGAGCGGAGGGAGCGCCCCACUCAGUGCCGCCGGCAGCCCGGCAUGGCGAGCCCCGCAGCGCCCCGCGCAGCCUCCCGCGGCCGCGGAGUCAGCGGGACGGCCGCGCCAUCCGCCGGGCGCCCGGCUCCUCGCCUCUCCUUCUUCUGCCUCCGCUCCCAGGUCUUUCCUUCUCUCCUCUCUUCUUCUUUAUUUUAUUUUAUUUUUCCCCCCUCCGUGCGGUGGGUCGCGAGAUCCAGCCUCCUCCCUCGGCAAUGCCGGCUGUCACCCCAAGCUGGCGGUCCCGGCGGCGGGCAGGCACAUUCCUUCACAUCCGCGCCCCUUCUCGCCUCUCCUCCUUCUCCUCGCCCCUCGGGGCCGGGGGCUCUCUCCUCGCCGUCUUCCUCUCCUCCGCUCCCUCCCCCGCCCGCUCGCCUCCCGCCUAUGCCCGGCCGCAGCGCAGCGGCGGCAGCGGCGGCGGCGGCUCCAGCAUCCCCCGGCUGCGCGGCGGGGAGGCGGCGGGGAGGCGCAGCCGCCACUCCGCGGCCCCGCGGCCAACCCGCGGCCGGCGCCGGGCCAGGGAGGCCGAUCCGCGGGCGGGGCCCGGGGCAGGAGGCUCGGCUCGGCUCGGCACGGUGCGGCUCCGCUCCCCGCCGCUCCUCCGCGCUCAAGUCCGGCCCGGCAUCGAAACUCCGCCGAGGUUUCCCGAGCGAAAAAUACAAAAGAACGUAA
rnacentral:lncRNA from 1 species